ensembl:lncRNA
UUUUAUGGAGAGCAACUUCUGAAGACGCGAGAGGGAGAAAGAGAGAUUACAAUCUGUUUUGACGUGGAGUCCGCUUCUUCUUCACCAUUCCUCCCAGUGACACACACACACACACACACACACACACACACACAGAGAGAGAGAGAGAGAGAGAGAGAGAGAGAGAGAGAGAGAGAGAGAGAGAGUGGGAGUUUCGGGCCUCUUUCUGUUCUGUAAAACUUUAUAGCGAGCUGGGGCCCAGUUGUCAUGGUAACGGGUUAUACGAGCUUGACCGGGGGUGUUGAUGGGUGGAGGGAGGGGGGUCCACCAUUUGCAGUUUGAGUUGUGUGUGUCGGCAACUCUUCUUCUGUUUAUAAUUAUGUGAAAGUGGGGGAGAGAGAGAUCGUGUGUGUGUGUGUGUGUGUGUGUGUGUGUGUGAGAGAGAGAGAGAGGACAUGUGUCAAAGGGAGAGAUCAUUGGAAUGUCACUUUUGAAAGCAGAAUACUCCUCUCCAUAGCUUCUUGCACACACACUCUCUCUCUAUCGCACACACACACACACACACACACACACACACACACACACACACACACACACACACACACACAGCCCGGGCCAGUAAACCCCCCGCUCCUGGAGGUUGCUCACUGCCGUGCUUCCUGCGUCCGUUCCUGCGCCCGAUGAGCCCGGUCAGAGCUUCCCCGGACCGCGCGGUUGACUGUGCUUGGUUGUCGGCCCGAGCCCACCAGAGAAAGGCGCUCCUCUGUAGCGUGAACCUGACCCGACAGCGCCGCCUGGAGAUCCGCUGGAGCGUCUACCUGACUGACAGGUGAAGAAAUCUGGUUCCAGAAUCGAAGGGUGAGGGCAAGGAAGCAGCGUCACCUCAGCAUCUGGACUGAUAAAGAUGACCCUCCACCUCAGACUGCAUGACGCUGGCACCCGGGGAGGAUGAAGAAGACGAGGGUGCGAGAUACAUCUAACUGAACGUGCAAUGUUUGUACAUGCAGUUUUACAAAACUUUCACACGCUGGACGCACACACACACACACACACACACACACACACACACAAAACUCGAGUUCACUCCUGUGUGCGUUGUUGGAUUAUUAGCAGAUCAACACCAAACAAGUAAUCUGGACUCCUGCACUGAACUGAGGUGGCCUAUUAUCGGAAGGAUUCAAGUCUGGGCUGAUGAGCCGCACUUAAUCGUCCAGGAGGAGGAGACGACCUCAGAAGAAAGACUGGACGGGCUGGAUAUACUGGCAGGCAGCUCGGUCUCAUCCUCUCUGUCGUCAGCUGGUGAGUGUGUCUUUUUUCUGUGCGUAAUGACAGGAGGUUGUUGAGUAAAAGACCAUAGAUCGUUUACAGCGAGAUGGCUGAUGUUGAUUGGUAGUUAUCACUUUAUUUAUUAUUAAUGCCUGACGUUCUAAGGGAAACAAGUCAGUAGUCAGGAGUUGAGAAACACAUGAGCAGUCUAGGUUUGUUGCAUUAUUUGGAUUUAUCAUGUUUUAAGUAUUUGGUCACUGUUCAGUUUCUGCUUUUCUGUAUUUCCUAACAUGAACAUCAUUCAGAGCCUUCUUAAAAUUCUGAACCAUAAAUGCUGAGAUGUUCAGCUGAAUUGGGAUACAGUCAAAUGUUACCAGUAUGCUUCUUUACAUUACGUUUUUAAGGAAAUUAAUUACUAUUUGACAUUGACAUCUGACACCUUCAACUCAACAAACCUCCUUUAUUCCCUCUCUUGGGGUUUUAAGGUUUUUUUUAUUAUCCUGGUGUCUUUCUCAUAAUGACAUGUGGCUUCAUAAAAUCAAAUUGGCAGAGGGAAGAGGUGAUGCACCAACAGUCUUCUGAAAUAGCUGUGUAAACCUCUAAUUCAGAAAAAAAACAGACAGGUAAAAGAUAUAUUUGAUAAUUAAUUAAGAUGUAAGAAAUACAUAUAUCCAGAUCACUUUUUCUGUGACUGAAGAAAUGUCUGUCUACUCCAAAAGCCAUCAUGAGCCAAAGGGUAUAUUCUGCCUAUUUAGAUUCUGCCCUAUUUUGCUUUUUCUAUUUAAAAUUAUGAUUUGAUUUACAGUUGUAGUUCGAUUUAAAGAUAAUUUUAAAUAUUCGUUGGAAUGUAUCUCAAUUUUGGCUCAUUUUCUGUCAGCCCAAAAGGCAGAAUAUACCCAUUGCCACCUGACAUACAGUUGAGUGGACAUAUGUAUUAUGUAGAAGAUCAUCUUUAGGCUUUUACAUGUUUUAAGUAAACACAUUUAUGACCCGUUUAAUGUGUUUAGAAGAAAAUGGCUGAUUUUGGUUUACACGGACUUUAAUAGUAUUUCCAAAAUCUGAUUUAGUUGAAAAAAUAUAUUUUUAUGACCCUGUCUAUUUCUCUGAGAAUAAAAUGAUUUAACAGUUACUGAAUCACUUUUUAUACCAUCAAUGUUUGUCAAAACAUUUUGAAAACAAAAGCUAUUGGUAUGAUUUUCACUUGUUUGAUAACUAAAACAAACAGUAAAGGGGCACUAUGCAGUUUAAGAGAAGAAAUUCAAAGUCAGAUUUAUUUACUAUUUAUAAUAUUAAUUAAGUCAUAGUACAGACUUUUUCCAUAAGUGAAUAAACAAGCUGUUGUCAGUGGAAAAUAAGGCCCCAGAACAAUGUUUGAAGUUAGAAGGGUGGCAGGGUCCGCCACAUCUAAACAAACAGUAUCUUUGAUAUAAAUUGUGGUGUCCUUUCAGGUCAGUUUGUUUGUUCAGUUUAUUCAGUCAUGAACACUAAGAGGGAUUCAGAAAGAAUCAGCCAAUAAAGAUCUUUCCCUUCUCAUUAACAUUUCUGCUCAAAACUACAGAGUGCUAAUUUAAAAAAUGUCCCCUUGUGUUUAAGAUGAACAUAUCAAUAUUGAUAUGAAAACUUUGUGUUAAUUUAUAAGGAGAUUAUAAUGCAGAGGAAUAUUAGUUAAUAUUAAAUCCCCUGUAAAGUUAUCACUUUCAAUCGAAACAGUAUUGUCACAAAAGUAGGAUAUUGAACUGGCUCUAUAAAAUACUUGCAGUGUGUAAGUGUCUAUUCUUCUUUUUUUUCCCAUCAACAUGUGAAGUUUUUCCUCACUCGAAUCGAGGGUCUAAGGACAGAGGAUGUUGUUCACUGUACAGAUUGUAAAGCCCAUUGAGGCAAUGUGAUUGUGAUUUUGGGCUAUAUAAAUAAAAUGGAUUUGAUUUGAUUUGAUAUUCUUAUUACGGAAUGUGAACUCCCCUCAGGUUGCUAAAGACAUUGUUUUAAAAUACAGGGGAAAAAAAAAAACACUUACACAAGGUAGAUACAGCCCUGCAACACUUUUGCAGACACUUUUGACUUUUUAGCUCCAUGUGUAAUUCUUUUUUCAAAUAAAAUAUUGACUGAAUUAGAAAUACUUUAUGAAAGCACUGAUAAUAGUAUGUUUCUUAUUGUACACACACACACAUACACACACACACAUACAUACACACUCACACCAUGUGACUUCAUUUUUCUAAUUUGUUUAUAUGUUGCCAAUGUCAUAUACAGCACAUGUAAUCUGUAGAAUAUUCAUAUGUUUGUGAUGUGUGGUUAAAGGUUUAUGUUGACCAUCUCUGGUAAAGGCAUCAAUGUAAACAUUAACACAAACUAGUACAAGCAGCGCUAAUUGUCAUGCUAGCACUUCUACAGCUGUUGUGGUAAUACCAGUGGUAAAUAAUAGUCAUAUUAGUCACAGUAGCUCUCACAUUAGAUGCACCAGUGGUAAAAUCUGACUCCAGACACAUUCAUAUCAUAUUCAUGCCAACAGGCGUCACAACUCGGCUGAAUUGUUGUUUUGCAUUUAUAGUUGAUUUUCCAGCUCACUCCAGUCUGUCUGUGGGAAACAUCUUAGUGGUUCUACUGCUGUAAUAUUUCCUGUGAGAGCUUUCUAACAUCUAUUUCUGAAUUUAACGAGUUCCACUUCCUGUUCACUUGAGUUGAAAACGCAAGCGAUGCAGAUGGAGCAGGGGCAUUUCCUUUAGAUGAGGAGAGGCAAAGAUCAAAGACAAACUUAUCGUGUUGUCUUUUGAUUAUAACUUUGUUAACGGACCAAACCGCUCAAAGUAUGAUGUGCUGCAUUUUUACCCAAUGAUUUGUUAAGAACACAGUUGUUUUUACAUCUCGUUUUGAUUCAACUUUCCUGUUCAUAAAUCUUUAGAAUAUUACAGAUGUAGCAGUAACAGCAUAAUGACUGUAGUAGUAGUAUAAGGUGAUAGUAUUGACAAUAAUCUCAAAAACUGCUUGACUGCAUCUACAAGGUCUGCAUUUGAGUCAUAACACUUACACACACUCUGUAUUAUCAGAUUCAGAUGACUUGCCUCUGUAUUUCUAUAUAUAGACACCACAUCAACUAUUAUCUUCAAGACGGAGGCUUAAGUGUAGUCAGCUCUAAAGGAUCACCUUUGACAUAAUAUCUAAUCCUUUUUAAAAUUAAGAUUAGAUGAGAUGCUAGGAUACUGCAUGUGUAAGGUUAUGAAAUCUCAGCAUGUUAAGACAGGAAAGUGAGUCAGCGACAGAUCCAUGUCCGUCAACCUGACCAUCACCCUGUUUCAUUGCAGGCUAAAUGCAACACUCGGAGCAGUUAUGUUGCAUGAGAAGCGACCCACGGGGCUUCUAUGUGAAGCUUUGAUCAGGAACAUAUGGCUGAACUUCCUCUGCUGCUGCAAUGGCCAGCUGCUGUCUGUUAGGAGAGGAGAAGAGAGGAGGAAAAGAAAGACACUGGAAUAAAGGAAUGCAAUGCUGACUGUAACUCUGCAGAGAGAAAAUAGAGCCAAUAAAAAGAGUAGAGUGGGACAGGCAGGAGGAAACAGAAGUAAACAAGUAGAGUAAAUGGAAGAAGAGAAUAAAUAAGGAAGGAGUAGGGACAGCCUCAGGUCUGCAGGCGCCAUGUUGAGACAGCAGCAUUUCUGCAGCGCCACACUGUCUCCUGCCUCAUCGCUGUCCCUUCUGCCUCUCUGUCCAUCUGCAAGCCUCUUUCCGUUUCCCAUCUGUCUCCCUCUCCCACCUUUACUUUUUACCACGGGGGUAAUUGACCAACUCGUUUAUUGGUGGCUAGAGGACGUGGAGGAGGCAGUUGUACUAGUGGUAUAUAUUACUGUAUAGUGUGGUUUUACGGCUGCCUUAUUGCCCCUUAUUGCCUGUUGAUAGUCAACAAAAGACACUCCAAAGAACGGUUUGUGCCUCCUGGAAAGUCUGCCUUCUUUAUUGUCCUUCCUGUCUGUCUCAUUGCCUUUAAUGGUCAGCUUUGUCUCUUGCAUCCACAUUGCUGAGACUAAACAGAUACAACUUCUUCUCUCUUUUUCACAGAGGGGCUCAUCAAUGAAACUAUGCCCUGAAAUUAAAUAAAAUUCUUCUUUUUUAAUUGACCUCAGGUGUCACUGCUUCUUCACAGAGUUCAUCAUGUAUCAUCAUUUUGCUGCUUCACAUGAAGCAACAGGAAGAGAGCGAGAGGUUUUCCAAACUCCUUUUUGCAUCAGGGUCACACAGUUGGAUAUUCAUUAAGCCAAGCAGGAGCCUGGUGCUGAAGGGAUUUUACUUGUUAGAUAUGAUUUACUGCAGCAGCCUGACCUCCUGCUGCUGGAUUCAGUCAAAUGCUCUCUAAUCAUUUGAUUACAACCAGAGGACGGCAAUACCCGUCUUGCAACAGUCAAAAACCUAUUGUUCUUGUGUUACAGUUAAACUAUACUUCAAUAAAAACAGCAUUUGCAUUUGUCAAACUUAAAGAUGACUCUUAGCAUUUAUGAUUCUGUGCCAUAAAUGUGAACAAGUUUGGGGGGAUAACAGAGAAUUAGGUGGUAAACACCAAAUUUAUAGAACUACAAAUAUGUGCUAAUGUAUCUGUAAAGUCAUAAACAUGAGACAAAAUAAAAGUAAAC